AGAGUUUGAUCAUGGCUCAGGACGAACGCUGGCGGCGUGCUUCAUACAUGCAAGUCGAACGAGAAUCUCUAGCUUGCUAGAGAGGAAAGUGGCGGACGGGUGAGUAAUAUGUAGGAAAUCUGCCCUUGAGAAGGGGACAACAGUUGGAAACGACUGCUAAUACCCCAUAUGAGAUAUUUUGAAAUAAGUAUCUUGAAAACUCCGGUGCUCAAGGAUGAGCCUGCAUCUGAUUAGCUGGUUGGCGGGGUAAAUGCCCACCAAGGCGACGAUCAGUAGCUGGUUUGAGAGGAUGAUCAGCCACAAUGGGACUGAGACACGGCCCAUACUCCUACGGGAGGCAGCAGUAGGGAAUUUUGCGCAAUGGGGGAAACCCUGACGCAGCAACGCCGCGUGUGUGAUUAAGCCCUUCGGGGUGUAAAACACUGUCAG
rnacentral:rRNA from 1 species